rnacentral:tRNA from 2 species
GGAGUGAUGUCCGAGCUGGCCUAAGGAGCACGACUGGAAAUCGUGUAAUGGUCGAAAGACCAUUCGAGGGUUCGAAUCCCUCUCACUCCG